GACGAACGCUGGCGGCGUGCUUAACACAUGCAAGUCGAACGGAAAGGCCUGCUUUCCCUUGUGGAUUGCGGGUACUCGAGUGGCGAACGGGUGAGUAACACGUGAGUGAUCUGCCCCCAACUUGGGUAUAAGCCUGGGAAACUGGGUCUAAUUCCCGAUAGGACUGCAGGGUGGUGCCUGUGGUGGAAACGGAUUUUCUAGUGGUUGGGGAUGAGCUCGCGGCCUAUCAGCUUGUUGGUGGGGUAAUGGCCUACCAAGGCGGCGACGGGUAGCCGGCCUGAGAGGGUGGACGGCCACAUUGGGACUGAGAUACGGCCCAGACUCCUACGGGAGGCAGCAGUGGGGAAUAUUGCACAAUGGGCGGAAGCCUGAUGCAGCGACGCCGCGUGGGGGAUGACGGCCUUCGGGUUGUAAACUCCUUUCGACCGCGAGGAAGCCACCUGGUUGGAAGGGUGGUGACGGUAGUGGUAGAAGAAGCACCGGCUAACUACGUG
rnacentral:rRNA from 1 species